CGGGCGGUGACAUCCACGCCCCCCAUGUCCCCAACCGUGUCCCCACGGCCAUCCUCGCUGACCCCAAAGGCCGGGAUGUCCCCGUCCCCGUGGGGCACGACCCCAAUGUCCCCUCGGGGGGGGACAUCCCUGCCCCCCAAGUCCUGCGGGGCUGAGAUGGCCUCGGCCCCAAACUCUUUGUCCCCAAACUCUUUGUCCCCAAUCUCUUUGUCCCCAAACUCUUUGUCCCCAAACUCUUUGUCCCCAAUCUCUUUGUCCCCAACAUCCCUGUCCCCAAUCUCUUUGUCCCCAAUCUCUUUGUCCCCAAACUCUUUGUCCCCAAACUCUCUGUCCCCAAACUCUCUGUCCCCAAAGUCCCUUAGGGUUGGGACCUGGAUGUCCCCAACCUCCUCAUCCCAAACAUCUCCUGGGGUUGGGAUGUCCCCAUUGUCCUUGUCCCCAAAGGCCUUAGGGGGUGGGACAUCCUUGUCCCCAGCAUCCUUGUCCCCAAAGCCGAUAGGGGAUGGGACAUUCAUGUCCCUAAAGUCCUUGUCCCCAAAGGCCUUAGGGGGUGGGAUGUCCUUGUCCCCAACGUCCUUGUCCCCAAAGGCCUUAGGGGAUGGGACGUCCUUGUCCCCAAAGCCCAUGGGGGAUGGGACAUCCUUGUCCCCAAAGUCCUUGUCCCCAAAGCCCAGAGGGGAUGGGACGUCCUUGUCCCCAAAGCCCAUGGGGGAUGGGACAUCCUUGUCCCCAACAUCCUUGUCCCCAAAGUCCUUGUCCCCAAAGGCCUUAGGGGGUGGGACAUCCUUGUCCCCAGCGUCCUUGUCCCCAAAGCCGAUAGGGGAUGGGACAUUCAUGUCCCUAAAGUCCUUGUCCCCAAAGGCCUUAGGGGGUAGGAUGUCCUUGUCCCCAACGUCCUUGUCCCCAAAGGCCUUAGGGGAUGGGACGUCCUUGUCCCCAAAGCCCACGGGGGAUGGGACAUCCUUGUCCCCAAAGUCCUUGUCCCCAAAGUCCUUGUCCCCAAAGGCCUUAGGGGGUGGGAUGUCCUUGUCCCCAACAUCCUUGUCCCCAAAGCCGAUAGGGGAUGGGACAUCCUUCUCCCCAAAGUCCUUGUCCCCAAAGCCCAGAGGGGAUGGGACAUCCUUGUCCCCAUUGUCCUCGUCCGCAAAGCCCAUAGGGGAUGGGACAUCCUUGCCCCCAAAGUCCUUGUCCCCAAUGUCCUUGUCCCCAAUGGCCUUAGGGGGUGGGACGUCCUUGUCCCCAAAGCCCAUGGGGGAUGGGACAUCCUUGUCCCCAAAGUCCUUGUCCCCAAAGCCCGUGACAGAUGGGACUUCCUUGUCCCCAAAGCCCAUGGGGGAUGGCACGUCCUUGUCCCCAAAGUCCUUGUCCCCAAUGUCCUUGUCCCCAAAGGCCUUAGGGGGUGGGACAUCCUUGUCCCCAACAUCCUUGUCCCCAAAGCCCGUGACAGAUGGGACUUCCUUGUCCCCAAUGUCGUUGUCCCCAAAGCCCAUGGGGGAUGGGACGUCCUUGUCCCCAAAGCCGAUAGGGGAUGGGACUUCCUUCUCCCCAACAUCCUUGCCCCCAAUGCCAUUAGGGGAUGGGACAUCCUUGUCCCCAACAUCCUUGUCCCCAAAGACCUUGUCCCCAAAGCCCAGAGGGGAUGGAACACCCUUGUCCCCAAAGUCCUUGUCCCCAAAGCCUGUGACAGAUGGGACAUCCUUGUCCCCAGCAUCCUUGUCCCCAAAGCCAAUAGGGGAUGGGACUUCCUUGUCCCCAAAGUCCUUGUCCCCAAUGUCCUUGUCCCCAAUGCCCAUGAGAUAUGGGACGUCCUUGUCCCCAAAGUCCAUGGGGGAUGGGACAUCCUUGUCCCCAAAGUCCUUGUCCCCAAAGCCCAUGGGGGAUGGGACACCCUUCUCUCCAAUGUCCUUGUCCCCAAUAUCCUUGUCCCCAAUGCCAUUAGGGGAUGGGACAUCCUUGUCCCCAGUGUCCUUGUCCCCAAAGCCCACUGGGGACGGGACAUCCCUGUCCCCACCACCCUCGCCCCCAAAGUCCUCAUCCCCCAUGGUUGGGACAGGCUUUUCCUUGGUGUCCUCGUCCUUAGGGGUUGUGACAUCCUUGUCCCCAAUGUCCCUUACGGUUGGGAUGUCCCCAAUGUCCCUUACGGUUGGGAUGUCCCCAAUGUCCCUUACGGUUGGGAUGUCCCCAAUGUCCUCGUCUCCAGCAGCCAAGACACCCCCAUUCCCACUGCCCUUCUCCAUACUGGGAACGGGGACAUCCCAAACUUCGUCCCUUGGGGUGGUGGCAUUCCCGUCCCCAAAGCCCUUGUCCCCAUCAUCCCAUACACCUAUGACAUCCCUGUCCCCGUCACCCUCAUCCUCGUGGACCGGGACAUCCUUGUCCCCAUAGAUGGAGACAUCCCUGCCCCCCAUAUCCCCCGGGGUUGGGACAUCCCUGUCCCCAACACCCCUUGGUGUCACCACCUCUGUCACCUCAGUGUCCUUUAGGGCUGUGACAUCAAUGCCAUCCCCGUCCCCAAAACCCUUCAGGGUUGGGACAUCUCUGUCACGUGGAACGGGGACGUCCCCGCGCCCCACAUCCGCACCCCCAAUGUCCUCAGCGGUGUCCCCAAUGUCCCCAACGUCCUCGGUGUCCCCAAUGUCCCAAAUGUCCUCGAUGUCCUCAUCCGCCGGUGCCACCGUCACAGUGAUGGUGAUGCCGCUGGCCCAAGGAGUGACGGUGACCUCGGGGACAUCGACGUCCCCUUUGGGGACACCGCUGUCCCCCUCUGUCACCUCCCCAGGGAGGGGACACCCCUCAGCCAUGGGUCCUGGGGGGGGGGACAAAUGGGGACAGCGAUGUCACUGCUGGUGACACGGAAACAUGGAGGGGAAUGGGGGGGACGUGGGGGGAACACGGAGGGGAUGGUGGUACCUGGGUCCUGGUUUUGGGGUCUCAGUGCCGGAUUUUGGGGUCCCCAAUGUUGAUUUUUGGGUCCAAGUGGUGAAAUUUGGGGUCCCAGUGACGGAAUUUGGGGUCUUGGUGUUGGGUUUGGAGUCCAAGUGCUGAAAUUUGGGGUCCCAGAGCUGGAUUUUGGGGUCCCCAAUGCUGAUUUUUGGGUCCAAGUGGUGAAAUCUGGGGUCCCAGUGCCGGAUUUGGGGGUCUCCAAUGCUGAUUUUUGGGGUCCAAGUGGUGAAAUUUGGGGUCCCAGUGCUGGAAUUUGGGGUCUUGGUGUUGGGUUUGGAGUCCGAGUGCUGAAAUUUGGGGUCUCAGUGCCGGAUUUUGGGGUCCCCAAUGCUAAUUUUUGGGUCCAAGUGGUGAAAUUUGGGGUCCCAGUGCCAGAUUUUGGGGUCCUUGAUGCUGAUUACAUCGUCAUGGGUCUGCUUUUGGGGUCCCAGGGUAGAUUUUGGGGUCCCACUUUAAGGUCUUGGUCUCGGUUUUGGGGUCCCGGUGCUGAUAUUGGGGUCCAAUUUCCAGGUCCUGGUGCUGAUUUUGGGGUCCCACUUACAAGGUCCUGGUCUCAGUUUUGGGGUCCCGGUGCUGAUAUUGGGGUCCCAGUUUGGGGGUCCCGUUGCUGUUUUUGGGGUCUCAAUUCCAAGCUCCCAAUUCCAGUUUCGGGAUCCAAUUCCAGAAUCCUGCUGCUGGUUUUGGGGUCCCACCUCCAGUUUUGGGGUCCCAGCCUCACAGUCACGGCGCUGAUUUUAGGGUCCCCAUUCUGAAGUCCAGGUGCCGACUGGGGGGGCGGAGAGGGGGGGGGGGGGGGUCCUGGUUCCAGUUUGGGGGUCCCAAUUUUAGGGUUCUGCUUCUGGGGUUCGAGUUUCAGCCUUCUAUACCCUUUCCAGCCCCCCCCCCCCCCCAUUUUACCCCCCCAUCCCUCAGUUUUCAUCCCCCACCCCCCACUUUUACGCCCCCCCCCCCCUCC
rnacentral:lncRNA from 1 species